UACAGAGGUCCCGAGCGUUGUUCGGAUUCAUUGGGCGUAAAGGGUGCGUAGGCGGCGGGGAAAGUCUGAUGUGAAAUCCUGGGGCUCAACCCUGGAACUGCAUUGGAUACUUCCUUGCUAGAGUACUGGAGAGGAAACUGGAAUUUACGGUGUAGCAGUGAAAUUCGUAGAUAUCGUAAGGAAGACCAGUGGCGAAGGCGGAUCUCUGGACAGUUACUGACACUGAGGCACGAAGGCCAGGGGAGCAAACGGG
rnacentral:rRNA from 1 species